UGUGUGUGUACCAUUGCGUACCUUCACUUGACUAGCUCAGCACUAAUGAUUUAGAGGAGAAAAAUAGAGGGAGAGGGAGGGUAUUGACGAGGAUAAAGUAAAACAGAGGGAGGAGGGAUAAUUGAGCAACAGAGUCAGGGAUGACUAACCCGCACCAGAGGAGAGAUAGAGAGAGCAGGAGGAGGAGAGGAAUAAAAUAGAGAUAUAUGAGUGUGUUAAAGGUAAGCGGAAGUUAAUGUUACAUAUUAGCAGUGUUUUACUGAAGAGCUCAAUGGGUACGGGAACAAAAGUAGGAGAAGAAACAGGCUGGUAUUUUUUAAAGUGACAAACAAAGGACAAUACAUCUAUAUCACCAGAAAACCAGCACCAGCGAAGGUCAUAGGAGGUCCAUCGGGACCAAGACAGUUUUCACUGCACCUUCCCAUGAAAUACACACCCCCCCUGCACCAAGAGGUAAUGUGCUCCUUUAAAUGUUCCAAUCCACUUGUUAUUAGAAAGAGAUACAUGUGAAGGCUUCUGGAAUAACUAAACCAAGUUUCAACCAAUUAUCUUCCACUGGAAGGCCAUGAGAGAGUUCUGUGUGAUAAACACUCCCAACAUGGAAGAUAAACAUGAGGAAGGUAAACAUUGAGCACAUAAACAACAUUUUCCAACUCAUUUAGCAUUCAUUUACGUGCAUCCUCUAAAGAAAACAAACAUACAAAUACACAAACACACACACACUGUGCACAACAACACACAAGAAGAACCCACUGUCAUUGGUCCCAUUUCCAUUCUUGAUACUUAGCAUAAACAUUCAAAAUAUGUCACAUUCUUGGACAGUGGAUCAAUCUACUCCAAAACAUGGGCUUGAGUGUACUCAUGGUCAAAGUGGAUCAGAAAUGCAGUAUGGAUGAAUGGAGAGUUUCCGGAAUAGUGUGUUACUGAUUGAAGAGCCAAUAGACCGAGAAUUGUCCAUAAUCAGCUAAAAACAUUUCUAGUGAGUAUUUCCAAACUAAAGCACUUGUUUUCUCCCUUAUGCAGAGAACAUUCCUUCCCUCAAACUAUCUGCAAACCUGGAGAGAACAGUUUAGAAGACAACCACACCUGAGAGAGAGCAAAUGACAGGAACACUAGACAAGCAGAAGAA
rnacentral:lncRNA from 1 species